AGCGGUCGAGUCAGUCCAGUAUCUUGUCUGUGUGUGUGUGUGUGCACGUAUACAUACACAGAUAAUCUUUGAUUCUUCCUGAUCGUGAUGCCAGGUUCAACAUUCAUAAAGUGCUGUGCAUGUGGAGGAGACAUCAGGGUGGCACGUCGCAAAUGUGACUUGUGUCGGGCAGCACAGCAACUGAAAAAAAAACUGGAUUCGCAGAAAGAUGAUGACAUCUGGGCUCGAAGCCCCCUUAAGGGAAACAAUGUUGCCAAGGUUCUUAGUACUGCCCAUUUACUGAUCCACAAGCUGGAAAAGCUGGGGAUGGUCCCUUUUGAUCCUUGUGGGACGCCCUAACAAUCCCUCCAUUGUCUGGUCUGAUGGUCUGUGUCCUCAGGGCUUCAAAGACCAACAGGCCAAAACUGUGGAAGAGAUUAAAUUGAUAUUUGACACUGACGUGAAAGGUAUAACUUGGACAGAUAGAUAUACUUUAGUAUUCCAUGCAGAUAGAAAUUUGUUGUCAGCUUUCAUCCAACGCCCCCGAUAUACAUUCACACACAAACAAACAUUACAUUAUGGCCUUUCUCUUACAUUAUUCCAGCUCAGGCACAAUUUAGGCCACUAGAUGGAUACUACGAAAUUGGGGAGAUUUUUUACAUUUGAAUUAAAACAUAUAUAUAUAUUUUUUCAUA